rnacentral:rRNA from 1 species
UACGAACGCUGGCGGCGUGCUUAACACAUGCAAGUCGAACGGAAAGGCCCUGCUUUUGUGGGGUGCUCGAGUGGCGAACGGGUGAGUAACACGUGAGUAACCUGCCCUUGACUUUGGGAUAACUUCAGGAAACUGGGGCUAAUACCGGAUAGGAGCUCCUGCUGCAUGGUGGGGGUUGGAAAGUUUCGGCGGUUGGGGAUGGACUCGCGGCUUAUCAGCUUGUUGGUGGGGUAGUGGCUUACCAAGGCUUUGACGGGUAGCCGGCCUGAGAGGGUGACCGGCCACAUUGGGACUGAGAUACGGCCCAGACUCCUACGGGGGGCAGCAGUGGGGAAUAUUGCACAAUGGGAGGAAGCCUGAUGCAGCAACGCCGCGUGCGGGAUGACGGCCUUCGGGUUGUAAACCGCUUUCGCCUGUGACGAAGCGUGAGUGACGGUAAUGGGUAAAGAAGCACCGGCUAACUACGUG